rnacentral:rRNA from 1 species
GAUAAACGCUGGCGGCGUGCCUUAUGCAUGCAAGUCGAACGCUCUACCGCAAGGUAGGGAGUGGCAAACGGGUGUGUAAUACGUAAGUAACCUGCCCUUAAGUGGGGAACAACUCUGAGAAAUCGGGGCUAAUACCGCGUGUGAUUAUUGACCGCAAGGGAGAUAAUUAAAGCCUUCGGGCGCUUGAGGAGGGGCUUGCGUCCUAUCAGGUAGUUGGUGGGGUAACGGCUCACCAAGCCGAUGACGGGUAGCUGGUCUGAGAGGAUGGUCAGCCACACUGGGACUGCGACACGGCCCAGACUCCUACGGGAGGCAGCAGCAAGGAAUAUUGUGCAAUGGGCGAAAGCCUGACACAGCGACGCCGCGUGAGGGAUGAAGGCCUUCGAGUUGUAAACCUCUUUUCUCAGGGAGGAGUAAGGACAGUACCUGAGGAAUAAGCCACGGCUAACUACGUGCCAGCCGCCGCUGUAACAC